GGGUAACAGUAUUUUUCUUUUGACAAAAUUGAGCACCAUUAACGUUGAUAACUCUCCUUCCUGAAAAGGUACAGCAAGUUAAGGAGACAUGGUGGGAUGUCUGGAAGCCCUCUUUGCUUGCUUCUUCCCUGCUGUUCUGUGGGCCAUUCACCUGGAGCAGGAGCAGAUCUCUGUCACAAAGCAGCCACUUCAAGGCAGCUCUGCCAAAUUCACUUGCAAGGUGUUUGGUGGAUCGGACUCUACCUACAUCCACUGGUACCGAGCCCCAGCUGGAGAGGCCCCACACAGGCUGCUGUACCUCACUCUCUCUGGGUCAGAGUUAAAGCGAGAGGCAGUCUUCUCCAGUGAGAAGUUCUCAGCCUAUGGGAGACAAAGCAUCUCUAACUUGUUGGUGCACAAGCUGGAAGAGACAGACAGCGGCCGCUAUUACUGUGCCACAUGGGAUUUUACACAGUGCCACAAGCUUCCUGCAACCCUGCCCAAAAACCACCACAGCUCUACGGAGAGGCCCAAGUACUGGUACAAUCUCAACUAUCCAUCACCAGGGCAGAAGAUAGAACUGCAUGAACUGACUGCCAUGUUUCUGGCAUAA